rnacentral:rRNA from 1 species
UACGGAGGAUGCAAGCGUUAUCCGGAAUGAUUGGGCGUAAAGCGUCCGCAGGUGGCUGUGUAAGUCUGCUGUUAAAUAGUGAGGCUCAACCUCAUAAAGGCAGUGGAAACUACACGGCUAGAGUGCGUUCGGGGCAGAGGGAAUUCCUGGUGUAGCGGUGAAAUGCGUAGAGAUCAGGAAGAACACCGGUGGCGAAAGCGCGUAACUGGGCCUGAACUGACACUGAGGGACGAAAGCUAGGGGAGCGAAAGGG